rnacentral:rRNA from 1 species
UGAACGCUAGCGACAGGCUAACACAUGCAAGUCGAGGGCAGCACGGAGUAGCAAUACUUGGUGGCGACCGGCGCACGGGUGAGUAACGCGUAUGCAACCUACCUAUCAGAGGGGAAUAACCCGGCGAAAGUCGGACUAAUACCGCAUAAAACAGGGGCACCGCAUGGUGAUAUUUGUUAAAGAAAUUCGCUGAUAGAUGGGCAUGCGUUCCAUUAGGUAGUUGGUGAGGUAACGGCUCACCAAGCCGACGAUGGAUAGGGGAACUGAGAGGUUGGUCCCCCACACUGGUACUGAGACACGGACCAGACUCCUACGGGAGGCAGCAGUGAGGAAUAUUGGUCAAUGGGCGGGAGCCUGAACCAGCCAAGUCGCGUGAAGGAAAGAAGGAUCUAUGGUUCGUAAACUUCUUUUGCAGGGGAAUAAAGUGCAGGACGUGUCCUGUUUUGUAUGUACCCUGAGAAUAAGGAUCGGCUAACUCCGUGCCAGCAGCUGC